ensembl:lncRNA
AGUGAGAGAGAGAGAGAGAGAGAGAGAGAGAGAGAGAGAGAUUGGGAGUGAGGCAGUGAGGCAGUGUGUAUGCCUUGCAUAACAUACUCUGUACCUCUUGUAUGCAAGGGCUUCAUGUGAGACAGCCCAGACAAGGGGACUUCCUUUAUGCUUACUCCUCCAGGGCUACUGCAGAAGGGAGGAGAGGAGAAGAGGAGGCAAGAGGAGAGGGCAGGAGAGCAAGGGACAAACACAGGACAUGGAGGAAUUCUGCAUCAUAUCAAAGAGUGCUUGAAGAUAAUGUGAUGUCAUCUGUCUGAAGGUUGAAGUUGAACUGAAAGUGGACCUUUCAACAGGAUAAUGAUCCUAAGCACACUAACAAAUCCACCAAAGAACGGCUCCAAAAGAAGAAAUGGAGGGUUACGGAAUGGCCUAGUCAAAGCCUGGAUUUGAAUCCCAUUGAAAUGAUGUUGGGGGAUUUGAAACGGGCAGAACAUGCAAGAAAACCCUCAAACAUCAUGCAACUGAAAGAAUACUGCAUGGAAGAGUGGUCAAAAAUUCCAGCAAGCCUGGUGGACAAUAAUGCCAAACUCCUACAAGAAGUUAUUUCUGCUAAAGGGGGCGAAACUAACUUCUGAGGCCAAGGGUGUACAUACUUUUGCCACAGAAUAAUAUCACAUCUAUUGAUAUUUCUGUUGAAUAAAUUAUUGAAAAAACUCAUUUUCCUUGUGGUUUUGUCCCUGUAUAUCAACUUUAUUAACGGGCACCAAUUCAAAGAUGAUCAAAUAUGAUUGCUUAUGUCAGAAAAGCC